AAAGAACGCUAAAGUAAUGUCAUGUUCGUAAAUAGUCUGAAAAGCAGGCACAGUUACCCAUCCCACUUUCACACACACCUUCUUCCAAUUCCAUCAUCUUCAUUCUUCUUUUCCUCAUUGCUACCUACACUCCUCCACUAAUCGGUUUUGAUUUGGUCCCGGGAGAUCUGGUUGAUCCGAAACAGUGAACAGUCUGGGUGGUUUGUCUAUUCGUUUAACGACGCCGUUUGGUUUUAGGUUUUGGGGGUCAUUUCCGACACCUCCUCGUACUGGGAUCUAGUGUACAAAACAUCGUUGUUCAUGUUACAAAUGGAGACACUCGUUGUGGUGGCGCAGCAUAGGAACCAAUACUGCAGCAGGUCGAAACCCCAAGGGCACGCUUCACCCUCCAGAGACUUUAGAGCCAUAAAUCGCACAACUUUUCAAACGGGGUGUGGUAUUCUACCAACCCCACUCAAAUCCCACACUUCACCGUUAACUAAAUACCCUUCUUCAGAUUCCUCCAAAACACCGUUAACCCCUUCAAACACAAUCAAAACCCGUUGCAAAACCACUCCCAGAAGUGCCCCAGUUCCCAUCAAUCACAAAAGGGAGAGAUGCUUCACUGAACAUGUUUCUGAUGGGGGCAUUUUGCUCUCUGAACUUUGGGCUGGUCCUACGUAUUCCAAUUCUCCACCACCUAGUUCCUUGCCUAUUCCCAAGUUUUUUGUAAAACCAAAGAGAAGUGUGUCCCUUGAUCUCCCUGGUUCUUGUCCUGAAGUGGAAAUGCAGUUACAUGCUAAGUCUGCACCUUCCUCCCCUCGCAGGGAGGAUUCCCCUUAUGCCGGAGAUAUCUUUGAUUCUGCGACGAUGGAUCUGCGUCGCAUUCUCAAUCUUAACUUGGAUGAUGAAUGAGAUUUGAGGAGCAAGAGGCUCCUGUAAAUAAGUGUUUUUGGUUGAUGAAGUUGGGUUAGUGUUAGAUUAGGUGUGGUGUAUAGAGUGACCGAAUAAAGAGUGUGUAGUUUUAGUUUGUUGUGUAGCUUUCGGUUGUGGUGGUGCCCUUCACAAGGAUGGAUGAUGGCAUUGGUGGGUUGAUGUUUUGAGAACUCGGGAAUGUGAGGUUCUUUUGGGAGCAGGGUUUGUUUUGUGGCAUGGAUGGAAGCUGAGUGGUGUGGCAUGGAAUAUAGAGUUGGAUGGCUUUGAAGGAAGUUAGUAGUUUAUGUAUUGAAGAGGAACUACUGAUUUCAUGAUGUGUUGUAUUUCAUAGUAUCAUCUCACAGAAAGAAUGGUUACCUUCUUUUAGUCUGAUACUUGAUUUAGGUCUCUUGUUUUAGUACAUACUGUAGAUCGUAGGAUCUUGCACUUACAGAAACUUGAAAAACCCUUUAGAGCUGAACCCUUUGGUUCUUUCCCCCCUCCCCACCUUCAGAAUUUCUCUUAUCAUAAUCUUUAUUCUUCUAUUAGGGUCUUCUAGUUUGUAGUUACUGAUCCUCUUUUUUCUCUUAAGCUAUCUCUUGCUUCUCUAUGUAAAGUUCUCAUUUCUUAGUUGCCCUAUAGUUAGUCCCUUCACCAUCUUUUCAGUUUUUUACAAAGAAAUGAUGGAAGGGGUUCGGUUACAUAUAAUCCUCUGCUGCUGACUGCUUUAGUUUCGUAGGGUUAAUCUGUGUCACAACCUGUUAUCAAGUCCUUCAUGUUUUCCAUUUUAGUUUAUGGUUAAUGCUUCUUUCUAUAUCUUCAUCUGGUUCAUCCCUGAUGGAGAGUUUGACCAUCCUACGCCAAAAUUAAGGGAGGCAAAACUAUUCCGUGGCUGUUUUGUUCAGAAGAUGUGAUCAUGGUCUUCUUUCUAGUUAGAUUGCAAGUCCGUUUUUCUUCAUGAACACCCUUUAUGGUUCGUAACUUGUGUUUCUUCUUUCUUUGACGCAUAUUAUGUAACUGGUGGAACUUUUAUGGUCUGCUGAAAUAAAUUGUUGCUGACUAUUAGCUAUGAAUAUGAACUGUUUUAUCUGAA